rnacentral:rRNA from 1 species
UACGGGGGGAGCAAGCGUUGUUCGGAUUUACUGGGCGUAAAGGGCGCGUAGGCGGCGCAACAAGUCACUUGUGAAAUCUCCGGGCUUUAACCCGGAGCGGCCAAGUGAUACUGUCGUGCUAGAGUGCGGAAGGGGCUACUGGAAUUCUCGGUGUAGCGGUGAAAUGCGUAGAUAUCGAGAGGAACACCUGCGGCGAAGGCGGGUAGCUGGGCCGACACUGACGCUGAAGCGCGAAAGCCAGGGGGAGCGAACGGGG